UCCUGUCGGAUUUCGGCGAACCUGUAAUGAAUGGCAGGACGAUCUACCUUCUUGCGUAGUUAACUAGGUCACUGUUAGCACUUAAUUACUGUUUGUUUCAUUUUAGUGCGUGCCUUAUGAAUAAACCGGCUAUUAGGCUGAUGCUUCAAGUAACAUUAUCCAGCGCCAAAGGUACAAAAUGUCUGUAUUGGACUCUGGUCUUGCGAUGCCAGCUUGGUAAUAAUUGCUAUUUUACCUUAACGAUGUCUUGGUUCUUACAGCUUGAUUAUUCGGCUUAUAGCUGAAACAGAUGGAGAUCCCUUACGAUAAGGUCGUGAAGCUGAUUCUAGUGUGACACCACCGGGCUUGAAUUUGGAACUCAGAAAAUGGGAAGCACUUCGUUAGAGGCCACCAGUUUGAUACAAGAAACUCGCUACUCUGUAAAUCCCUGAUAAAGACAGAAAUAGAAGUGGUUGUGCAGCCAACAGGAUGCAUUUGCGGUAGCCUCCCAACAUUCCCUAUCCCUCCCUCCCCCAGAGGCUGCUGCUGGCUUUUGGCGGGGCCUGGGUGCCAGAAGAGGGAGCACGGAAUACAGCACAGACCCAGCCUGAAUGUCCCUUCUGCUGCCUCAGCUUUCAGUCUGUUUGCCCCCAAACUUUGCACUGCAUCCAAAGACCUAAAAUUUGGAGUCUGCAGGCCUUGGAGAAGGUUGAGGGAGUGAGGUUGAUGGAGGGAAGUUGAGCAUAAAGAGAGCCUGCUGGAUAUUUUCAAGGCUGAGAUUUGGAAAUAAGUUUCUCUCCUCUACUUGUGAAGAAUCUAAGAGAGGACCUUUUGGACCAUAGCACAUCUAUAUUUAGAUUUUCUUUACCUAUAUACUUCCCCCCCUUUU